AUACGGAGGGUGCAAGCGUUAUCCGGAUUCAUUGGGUUUAAAGGGUGCGCAGGCGGAUAUUUAAGUCAGUGGUGAAAUCCCGGGGCUCAACCUCGGAACUGCCAUUGAUACUGAAUAUCUGGAAUACGGUUGAAGUGGGCGGAAUGUAGCAUGUAGCGGUGAAAUGCAUAGAGAUGCUACAGAACACCGAUCGCGAAGGCAGCUCACUAAGCCGAUAUUGACGCUCAGGCACGAAAGCGUGGGGAGCGAACAGGAUUAGAAACCCCAGUAGUCC
rnacentral:rRNA from 1 species